UUUUUUUUUUUUUUUUUUUUUUGAGAAGAGUGGCAGGGACUGUCUUGUCUUCUCAGUGUGCCUUCUUGAUUGAACAUUUCAAAGGCAUUUCCUAAAUCCCAAAGCCUCCUAUUCCUUUCUCAAAGAUCUAAAUAUAUUUCCCCUAAAUAAAGUGUUAUAAUGUUUCCACUCUUCACUCAAAUUUAGCAUUUAAAGUUUUUGAAUGGAUUUUUCUGUAUAGCCAUAUGAUUUCUGUGCAUGUCUGUGGUUUGAAUUCUUCAGCUUAUUAUGGCUCAGCAGAAAUCACAGCUGGCAGGUGGUCACAGAGUUGGUACAGGAAAACUAAUGGAGCUGGAAAUCAGUACCUUAUCAGAAUAUCUGGCCUGUUGAUUGCUCUCCAAAGUUAUUUGCUUGUUCUAUAUAAAAAUCAGAGUCUUCAUUAUUACAUAACUUUUUUGAAAAUAUUCGAUUUGUAGUAUUUUAUUGCUUACGAAUGAUGGCCUUUACUCAUGAUGUAAAGACAAGACAAAACAAAAUGCACAUGGCACCUUGACUUAUAAGGUUGGUUAUGAGGGAGAAGCUCUCUUCUGUCACCUCCUCACACCCCAGACAUAGGAUGUUACUUUCUUCUCUGGAUUCUCAGGAUCAUUUUUUAGUGAAACUUGCCAUGUAACCAUCAGUUAAGCCUCACAAUUAAACUUAAAUAUAAACUUCACAAAUUAGAGAAAAUUCUGAGAACAUUGAGCAUUAUGUUUUAUUAUUAUUAUUAUUAUUAUUAUUAUUUCUGAUAAGGCCACUUGGUAUCAUCUUAUGGGUGAUUUUCAAGGACAACAAGCAAGAAAAUGCUUAGGGUAUAGUGCCUAAUGCUAUAAUAAUAGUCUUUGUGUCUUAAUGAAAAAAAUCUGGUCUUUUUAGCCAGUUCAGGCAAAAUAUAACAAUUUCUCAAUAUUUUCCCACACGAAACAGACCAAAUAGUCUAUAUGAUAGUCUAUACCUCGUUGAAUAUGUUUUAUUCAAUUAUCUGAAGUGAAUAUGCAUUUAAUUUUUUUCAGACAGAAACAUAAUCUAGUAAAAUAUUAUGUCUUAAAUAUUUUACUCACAAACAUCUCAAUCAUUUUGUUAAUCAUUAAUAAGAAUUUCAUUAUAGUUAUGUUUAAUAUCUUAAUAAUAACUUAAAUCAUAAAUACCCAUUUAUAUACUGCUGAGAUUUCCAGAAAUUCACACAUAAACUCAUCAGGGAAAUGAAUGAGUGAAUGCUGGUUGAGGAGCACAUUUUCUAAAAAAUUAUAGUGAGCAAUCUGGCUUCUGCCUGCUGUAUAUUUUUUGUACAUUAAAUCUCUAAAAAUCCUGGUUUUGCAAUGGGACUCAAAAUUUGAUGGGGAGAGUACUUGUUUGGUGCUGUAAUUGGGAGCAAUUUGCGAAGAAAUUUCUUAAAAGUAUAGCGAUAAUCCACAUUUUGGUCAAUAACAAUAGACACACAAAUUUCACUUCUUGUUACUUUCUUUUGAAAAUACAAAUCCUUGCCACCCUGUGGUAGUAAAUUAAUAGCAGCCGCAGGUGCAUCAUGUUAUGCAGAAACACCAUGCGGAUCUCUGCUGUGGGGAGAAGCUACUGCAGGAAUACCAGGACGAAGCACUCUUGGCUCUCUACGUGAAAUUCUAAGCCUAUAAGUGGUCUUCAUAUGAUGUCGUUUGUCUCUUUUAGUCGUUUCUGCAAUUCUCUUUGGCUACCGUAUUCUCAAGAGAAAAACUUACGUGUGCUUUUCCAGUAACAUAAAUAAAGACUAAAAACAAUAUCCGUAGAAAGGUUUUACACAUUGUAACUUACCAACCACAUAAACAUUUCAGUUUUUAAAUAUUAACUGAUAAUGUAAACAAUGCAUCAAUAAUCAAGAGGUUUUCAGUGUAAAAUGCCUCUGAGAAAAAAAGCCUAACAUAAUAAUACACAUAAGUUCGUACUAAGAACUUGUCUUUAUGGGUGGCUUACGCCUGUUUGUUUUCUAAGAGUUUAAUGGCAGAAAAAAAUGUAAUGAGUUACAGAGGGUGUAAUAAAUAGACAGUUUGCCUUUUUAGGUCAGGAAGAAAAUUAGCCAUAAUUUUGCUUCGAAGCAAAAGUGGUAAAAUGUUUCGCUAUUUUAAAAGGUUAGUACUUCCUCUUUUAUACUCUUCAUGAUAGGAAAUUAAAGACACACCAAAAAUGAUAUCAAAUAUCAACUAAUACAUUAAAACUUUCUUAACCUUAAAGACUCAUUCUUUGCAUUAGGGUGGCUUUAUAUUUGUAGGGGGUUGUAAAAAUAAUAAAAUGUUAUUUAAAGUUUAAAUGGCAUAACUCUCUCUCCUGACUUACCAGACUCAUUGUUUGUAUAUGUAUGGAUAUGUGCUAUUUUUAAAUUCCUGGAAACGAACCACUAUGCAUCAGGCCUACGAUAUGGGAAAGGAUGGCCUGCCAGUUGAUUUUCUCUCUGGAAUGGAAUCUUUCUCUUCAUCAGGACAGAUCAAAACAGAAAGUCCUCUUCUCUACAAUAGGGAAGAUUAAAAAUAAAGUACUCUUUGGGUGCACGAGAACAAAAUCUAGGGAGAAAUAACAAGGAUAAGAACAGGAAGAUUGGAGUUCCCGUAGUGGCUCAGUGGAAACGAAUCGGACUAAUACCCAGGAGGAUGCGGGUUCCAUUCCUGGUCUCAGUGUGUUAAGGAUCCAGCAUUGCCGUGAGCGGUGGUGUAGGUUGCAGAUGCAGCUGGGAUCCCACUUUGCAGUGGCUGCGGUGUAGGCCAGAGGCUACGGCUCAGAUUAGAUCCCUAGCCUGGGAACCUCCACAUGCCAUGGGUACAGCCCUAAAAGAGACACACACACACACAUGCACAAAGAACAGUAUUUCAUUUCCAAAUAUUUGCAAAUUAAUGUUAUUUAAAUAACAAUUGGCUGGCUUUUCCCUAACAUUCAUUGAAAUAUUUAUUAUUAUGCAAUCUUAGUCUUAGUUUCAGAGAUAUGUGAGGUGGUUAGCAUUGCACCUGAAUCUUCUGAUUUGUCUUUCUUUAUCAAAAUUAUAAAUGUUAAAGUGAGACAUGUUUAAGUGUUUUAAGUUGAGAAAACUGAUUUCUUCAUUUUUAUGAGCAAUUAACUCUCUGUUAUUGGAGGAAGAUUUUAAUCUAAUAUUGCCAAAACACACCCACAACAACCACAAAACAAA
rnacentral:lncRNA from 1 species